AGUGAACGCUGGCGGUAGGCCUAACACAUGCAAGUCGAACGGCAGCACAGUAAGAGCUUGCUCUUACGGGUGGCGAGUGGCGGACGGGUGAGGAAUACAUCGGAAUCUACUUUUUCGUGGGGGAUAACGUAGGGAAACUUACGCUAAUACCGCAUACGACCUACGGGUGAAAGCAGGGGAUCUUCGGACCUUGCGCGAUUGAAUGAGCCGAUGUGGGAUUAGCUAGUUGGCGGGGUAAAGGCCCACCAAGGCGACGAUCCGUAGCUGGUCUGAGAGGAUGAUCGGCCACACUGGAACUGAGACACGGUCCAGACGCCUACGGGAGGCAGCAGUGUGGAAUAUUGGGCAAUGGGCGCAAGCCUGAUCCAGCCAUACCGCGUGGGUGAAGAAGGCCUUCGGGUUGUAAAGCCCUUUUGUUGGGAAAGAAAAGCAGCAGGUUAAUACCCCGCUGUUCUGACGGUACCCAAAGAAUAAGCACCGGCUAACUUCGUG
rnacentral:rRNA from 1 species